CAAUAGCGUAUAUUAAAAUUGUUGCGGUUAAAAAGCUCGUAGUCGAAUUUUUCUGUUCCUGGCAUGGCUCAGGCCAAUGUCGGGAACGGAUUCCCGCAUCCGGCUUCGGCCGCGGGUUUUACUUUGAGGAAAUUAGAGUGUUUCAAGCAGGUUUUGCCUUGAAUACUUUAGCAUGGAAUAAUAGAGAAUGACUGCGUUUCACUCUAUGGUUAGUAAACGCAGUAAUGAUUAAUAGGAACAGUCGGGGGCGUUCAUAUUUAACAGCUAGAGGUGAAAUUCUUGGAUUUGUUAAGGAUGAACUACUGCGAAAGCAUUCGCCAAGGAUGUUUNCAUUGA
rnacentral:rRNA from 1 species